rnacentral:rRNA from 1 species
UACGAAGGGGGCUAGCGUUGCUCGGAAUUACUGGGCGUAAAGCGCACGUAGGCGGCUUUGUAAGUUAGAGUUGAAAGCCCGGGGCUCAACUCCGGAAUUGCCUUUAAGACUGCAUCGCUAGAAUUGUGGAGAGGUAAGUGGAAUUCCGAGUGUAGAGGUGAAAUUCGUAGAUAUUCGGAAGAACACCAGUGGCGAAGGCGACUUACUGGACACAUAUUGACGCUGAGGUGCGAAAGCGUGGGGAGCAAACAGG